rnacentral:tRNA from 1 species
CGCGGGGUGGAGCAGCUUGGUAGCUCGUCGGGCUCAUAACCCGAAGGUCGUCGGUUCAAAUCCGGCCCCCG